UACGGGGGGGGGCAAGCGUUGUUCGGAAUUACUGGGCGUAAAGGGCUCGUAGGCGGCCAACUAAGUCAGACGUGAAAUCCCUCGGCUUAACCGGGGAACUGCGUCUGAUACUGGAUGGCUUGAGAUUGGGAGAGGGAUGCGGAAUUCCAGGUGUAGCGGUGAAAUGCGUAGAUAUCUGGAGGAACACCGGUGGCGAAGGCGGCAUCCUGGACCGGUAUUGACGCUGAGGCGCGAAAGCCAGGGGAGCAAACGGG
rnacentral:rRNA from 1 species